UCUGCUCAGAUUUAAAGAGCCGCUAUGGUGAAAUAGGUAGACACGCUGCUCUUAGGAAGCAGUGCCAGAGCAUCUCGGUUCGAAUCCGAGUAGCGGCA
rnacentral:tRNA from 1 species